rnacentral:rRNA from 1 species
UACAGAGGGUGCGAGCGUUGUCCGGAAUCACUGGGCGUAAAGGGCGCGUAGGCGGCUCAGUAAGGUUGCGGUGAAAGCCCGGGGCUCAACCCCGGGUCGGCCGUGGCAACUGCUGGGCUGGAGCACUGUAGAGGCAGGUGGAAUUCCGGGUGUAGCGGUGGAAUGCGUAGAGAUCCGGAAGAACACCGGUGGCGAAGGCGGGUCUCUGGGCCGAUACUGACGCUGAGGAGCGAAAGCGUGGGGAGCGAACAGG